CAACCUGCCCAUCACUUGGGGAUAACCUUGCGAAAGUAAGACUAAUACCCAAUGGUAUCUCUAGAAGACAUCUGAAAGAGAUUAAAGAUUUAUCGGUGAUGGAUGGGGAUGCGUCUGAUUAGCUUGUUGGCGGGGUAACGGCCCACCAAGGCGACGAUCAGUAGGGGUUCUGAGAGGAAGGUCCCCCACAUUGGAACUGAGACACGGUCCAAACUCCUACGGGAGGCAGCAGUGAGGAAUAUUGGUCAAUGGACGAGAGUCUGAACCAGCCAAGUAGCGUGCAGGAUGACGGCCCUAUGGGUUGUAAACUGCUUUUAUAAGGGAAUAAAGUGAGCCUCGUGAGGCUUUUUGCAUGUACCUUAUGAAUAAGGACCGGCUAAUUCCGUGCCAGCAGCCGCGGUAAUACGGAAGGUCCGGGCGUUAUCCGGAUUUAUUGGGUUUAAAGGGAGCGUAGGCCGGAGAUUAAGCGUGUUGUGAAAUGUAGACGCUCAACGUCUGCACUGCAGCGCGAACUGGUUUCCUUGAGUACGCACAAAGUGGGCGGAAUUCGUGGUGUAGCGGUGAAAUGCUUAGAUAUCACGAAGAACUCCGAUUG
rnacentral:rRNA from 1 species